UUUCCGUGGUUAGUGCUCUGAUGUCCCGAUAUAGAUAAUCUUGAAGUAAUUCUUGAUUCUUAGAUCAACUAGAGAACUCUCAGGAAACUUCCUCUCUUCCCACCAAAAAUACUUAUAUAGUUAUCCUUGGGCGAUCUUGGAUCUUAAUUAGCACACUCACAUUCCCUGUGGAAAAUCGAUACUCUGGAAUACUCCCGGGUGAAGGCUACAUCGGUAUCCGUGCGCUUGCGGAUUUUUCUGUUUGCGUUUAAAAUACCCAACAAGCUUUCUGGCGCCGUUGCCGGGGAACGGUAGCUGUGCUAGUUUCGAAUCAAGUCACCCGUAUAUCCUUUUUCUUUUCCUUUUUUUUACCACACUCACCUUAUCAUUUUCACCGUACCAUAUGGAUUUCACUCUAAGCAUUAAUAAGCAUGGAAUUUAUUUCAUAGCCACUUCAUUUACUCCAUGCUCAUAUGCAACAUCUUCACAAUCCAUUGGUCUCUCCAACAUCACCACAUUCGAGAUCUCCAACCCCCUCUUCCUUUCUAUUUAUAAAAACUUUAAAAGGGCGGUUGUCGAUGCAUAUGUUUAUAAUAAAUUUUGCAGAUCUCGUUGAGUUAAUCUUGAUAUAGGUCAGCGUUGGAGGGGAAACCACUUCACUGACAUAAAUUGAUGGUUUCCCAAGGACAAGCUUAGUGUCCUAAAACAAGCAC
rnacentral:lncRNA from 1 species